GGACGUCAUGAUUUCCGUAGGUGACCUGCGGAAGGAUAUUA
rnacentral:rRNA from 1 species